rnacentral:rRNA from 1 species
ACGGAGGGUGCAAGCGUUAAUCGGAAUCACUGGGUGUAAAGCGCGCGUAGGCGGCUUUUUAAGUCGGACGUGAAAGCCCUCGGCUCAACCGGGGAACUGCGUUCGAAACUGGGAAGCUUGAGUACUGGAGAGGGUAGCGGAAUUCCGGGUGUAGGAGUGAAAUCCGUAGAUAUCCGGAAGAACACCGGUGGCGAAGGCGGCCACCUGGACAGGUACUGACGCUGAGGCGCGAAAGCGUGGGGAGCAAACAG